rnacentral:rRNA from 1 species
AACGAACGCUGGCGGUGCGUCUUAAGCAUGCAAGUCGAACGGCAAGAAAGUGCUUGCACUUUCCUAGAGUGGCGGACUGGUGAGUAACGCGUGGGUGAUCUACCUUUAAGAUGGGGAUAGCUUUUAGAAAUAAGAGAUAAUACCGAAUGUGCUUACGGUGCUAUGGCAUUGUAAGGAAAGGAGCGUUUGCUCCGCUUAAAGAUGAGCCUGCGUCCCAUUAGCUAGUUGGUGAGGUAAAGGCCCACCAAGGCGAUGAUGGGUAUCCGACCUGAGAGGGUGAUCAGACACAUUGGGACUGAGAUACGGCCCAAACUCCUACGGGAGGCAGCAGCUGAGAAUCUUCCGCAAUGGACGAAAGUCUGACGGAGCGACACCGCGUGAAUGAUGAAGGCCGAAAGGUUGUAAAAUUCUUUUGCAGACAAAAGAAAUAAAGUGCGGG